GAUGAACGCUGGCGGCGUGCCUAAUACAUGCCAGUCGAGCGAACAGACGAGGAGCUUGCUCCUUUGACGUUAGCGGCGGACGGGUGAGUAACACGUGGGUAACCUACCUAUAAGACUGGGAUAACUUCGGGAAACCGGAGCUAAUACCGGAUAAUAUUUCGAACCGCAUGGUUCGAUAGUGAAAGAUGGCUUUGCUAUCACUUAUAGAUGGACCUGCGCCGUAUUAGCUAGUUGGUAAGGUAACGGCUUACCAAGGCAACGAUACGUAGCCGACCUGAGAGGGGGAAGGGCCACAUGGGAGGGGAGACAGGGUCGAGAGUCUUACGGGAGGAGGCGGAGGGGAAUUGGAGGAAAUGGGGGAAGGCGUGACGGAGCAAGGCGGCGGGGGAGAUGAAGGUGUUGGGUGCGGAAACUCGUGUUAUAGGGGAAGAAGAAACGGGGAAGGAACUGUGCACGUCGUGACGGUAACGAAUCAGAAAGCGACGGCUAACUACGUG
rnacentral:rRNA from 1 species